rnacentral:rRNA from 1 species
GUAGGUGGCAAGCGUUGUCCGGAUUUACUGGGUGUAAAGGGCGUGCAGCCGGGAAGACAAGUCAGAUGUGAAAUCCCGCGGCUCAACCGCGGAACUGCAUUUGAAACUGUUUUUCUUGAGUACCGGAGAGGUCAUCGGAAUUCCUUGUGUAGCGGUGAAAUGCGUAGAUAUAAGGAAGAACACCAGUGGCGAAGGCGGAUGACUGGACGGCAACUGACGGUGAGGCGCGAGAGCGUGGGGAGCAAA